rnacentral:lncRNA from 1 species
GGAUAUGUAUAGACAUGGCCCGAGUACUCCAACUCAGCCCAAUAGUCGGUAGCGGCCUCUAGCAAGAUGUGUCAACUCCUAUAUGCACACGAAGAUCAUAUCAGAUGAACCGCCACAACAUCAUGUACAUGCUAUUCCCUUUGCCUCACAAUAUUUGGUCUAACUUCAAGCCGACCGCCCUUUCUCGAUCCUAUGAUUCGGAAUCCCUUUGUAGGUUAACUCU